rnacentral:rRNA from 1 species
GGUUAAGCGACUAAGCGUACACGGUGGAUGCCCUGGCAGUCAGAGGCGAUGAAGGACGUGCUAAUCUGCGAAAAGCGCCGGCGAGGUGAUAUGAACCUUUGACCCGGCGAUGUCCGAAUGGGGAAACCCAGUGUGUUCCGACACACUAUCGUUAACUGAAUACAUAGGUUAACGAGGCGAACCGGGGGAACUGAAACAUCUAAGUACCCCGAGGAAAAGAAAUCAACCGAGAUUCCCCCAGUAGCGGCGAGCGAACGGGGAGCAGCCCAGAGUCUGAAUCAGCUUGUGUGUUAGUGGAAGCGUCUGGAAAGUCGCACGGUACAGGGUGAAAGUCCCGUACACGAAAGCACACAGGCUGUGAACUCGAAGAGUAGGGCGGGACACGUGGUAUCCUGUCUGAAUAUGGGGGGACCAUCCUCCAAGGCUAAAUACUCCUGACUGACCGAUAGUGAACCAGUACCGUGAGGGAAAGGCGAAAAGAACCCCGGCGAGGGGAGUGAAAAAGAACCUGAAACCGUGUACGUACAAGCAGUGGGAGCCUCUUUAUGGGGUGACUGCGUACCUUUUGUAUAAUGGGUCAGCGACUUAUAUUCUGUAGCAAGGUUAACCGUAUAGGGGAGCCGAAGGGAAACCGAGUCUUAACUGGGCGUUAAGUUGCAGGGUAUAGACCCGAAACCCGGUGAUCUAGCCAUGGGCAGGUUGAAGGUUGGGUAACACUAACUGGAGGACCGAACCGACUAAUGUUGAAAAAUUAGCGGAUGACUUGUGGCUGGGGGUGAAAGGCCAAUCAAACCGGGAGAUAGCUGGUUCUCCCCGAAAGCUAUUUAGGUAGCGCCUCGUGAACUCAUCUUCGGGGGUAGAGCACUGUUUCGGCUAGGGGGCCAUCCCGGCUUACCAACCCGAUGCAAACUACGAAUACCGAAGAAUGUUAUCACGGGAGACACACGGCGGGUGCUAACGUCCGUCGUGAAGAGGGAAACAACCCAGACCGCCAGCUAAGGUCCCAAAGUCAUGGUUAAGUGGGAAACGAUGUGGGAAGGCACAGACAGCCAGGAUGUUGGCUUAGAAGCAGCCAUCAUUUAAAGAAAGCGUAAUAGCUCACUGGUCGAGUCGGCCUGCGCGGAAGAUGUAACGGGGCUAAACCAUGCACCGAAGCUGCGGCAGCGACGCUUAUGCGUUGUUGGGUAGGGGAGCGUUCUGUAAGCCGUUGAAGGUGUCCUGUGAGGGGUGCUGGAGGUAUCAGAAGUGCGAAUGCUGACAUAAGUAACGAUAAAGCGGGUGAAAAGCCCGCUCGCCGGAAGACCAAGGGUUCCUGUCCAACGUUAAUCGGGGCAGGGUGAGUCGACCCCUAAGGCGAGGCCGAAAGGCGUAGUCGAUGGGAAACAGGUUAAUAUUCCUGUACUUGGUGUUACUGCGAAGGGGGGACGGAGAAGGCUAUGUUAGCCGGGCGACGGUUGUCCCGGUUUAAGCAUGUAGGCGGAGGUUCCAGGUAAAUCCGGUUCCUUGUUAACGCUGAGGUGUGAUGACGAGGCACUACGGUGCUGAAGUAACAAAUGCCCUGCUUCCAGGAAAAGCCUCUAAGCAUCAGGUAACAUCAAAUCGUACCCCAAACCGACACAGGUGGUCAGGUAGAGAAUACCAAGGCGCUUGAGAGAACUCGGGUGAAGGAACUAGGCAAAAUGGUGCCGUAACUUCGGGAGAAGGCACGCUGAUAUGUAGGUGAAGCCCCUGCGGGUGGAGCUGAAAUCAGUCGAAGAUACCAGCUGGCUGCAACUGUUUAUUAAAAACACAGCACUGUGCAAACACGAAAGUGGACGUAUACGGUGUGACGCCUGCCCGGUGCCGGAAGGUUAAUUGAUGGGGUUAGCGGUAACGCGAAGCUCUUGAUCGAAGCCCCGGUAAACGGCGGCCGUAACUAUAACGGUCCUAAGGUAGCGAAAUUCCUUGUCGGGUAAGUUCCGACCUGCACGAAUGGCGUAAUGAUGGCCAGGCUGUCUCCACCCGAGACUCAGUGAAAUUGAACUCGCUGUGAAGAUGCAGUGUACCCGCGGCAAGACGGAAAGACCCCGUGAACCUUUACUAUAGCUUGACACUGAACACUGGUCCUUGAUGUGUAGGAUAGGUGGGAGGCUUUGAAGCGUGGACGCCAGUCUGCGUGGAGCCAACCUUGAAAUACCACCCUUUAAUGGCUGGUGUUCUAACGUAGACCCGUAAUCCGGGUUGCGGACAGUGUCUGGUGGGUAGUUUGACUGGGGCGGUCUCCUCCCAAAGAGUAACGGAGGAGCACGAAGGUUAGCUAAUCCUGGUCGGACAUCAGGAGGUUAGUGCAAUGGCAUAAGCUAGCUUGACUGCGAGAGUGACGGCUCGAGCAGGUGCGAAAGCAGGUCAUAGUGAUCCGGUGGUUCUGAAUGGAAGGGCCAUCGCUCAACGGAUAAAAGGUACUCCGGGGAUAACAGGCUGAUACCGCCCAAGAGUUCAUAUCGACGGCGGUGUUUGGCACCUCGAUGUCGGCUCAUCACAUCCUGGGGCUGAAGUAGGUCCCAAGGGUAUGGCUGUUCGCCAUUUAAAGUGGUACGCGAGCUGGGUUUAGAACGUCGUGAGACAGUUCGGUCCCUAUCUGCCGUGGGCGCUGGAGAAUUGAGGGGGGCUGCUCCUAGUACGAGAGGACCGGAGUGGACGCAUCACUGGUGUUCGGGUUGUCAUGCCAAUGGCACUGCCCGGUAGCUAAAUGCGGAAGAGAUAAGUGCUGAAAGCAUCUAAGCACGAAACUUGCCCCGAGAUGAGUUCUCCCUGAGACUUUAAGUCUCCUGAAGGAACGUUGAAGACUACGACGUUGAUAGGUCGGGUGUGUAAGCGCAGCGAUGCGUUGAGCUAACCGAUACUAAUGAACCGUGAGGCUUAACCUU